UACAGAGGGUGCAAGCGUUAAUCGGAAUUACUGGGCGUAAGCGUGCGUAGACGGUUAUUUAAGUCAGGUGUGAAAGCCCCGGGCUCAACCUGGGAAUUGCAUUUGAGACUGAAUAGCUAGGGUGCGGAAGAGGGAAGCGAUUCCGGUGUAGCGGUGAAUGCGUAGAUAUCAGGAGGAACACCGGUGGCGAAGGCGGAUCGUCUGGGCCCUUACCCUGACGCUGAGACGCGAAAGCGUGGGAGCGAACAGG
rnacentral:rRNA from 1 species